rnacentral:rRNA from 1 species
GUAAAGUCGUAACAAGGUUUCCGUAGGUGAACCUGCGGAAGGAUCAUUAUCGAAUCGUAGGCGAGGGUUGUCGCUGGCCUCUCGGGGCAUGUGCACGCCCGAGCCCUUGAAUCCCAAACACCACAUGUGAACCCACCGUAGGCCUUCGGGCCUAUGUCUUAUCAUAUAAUCUGAAUGUCUAAUAGAAUGUAAACCCAUUUCGUUGCCUUGAAAACGUAACGAAAGAAAACUAUACAACUUUCAACAACGGAUCUCUUGGCUCUCGCAUCGAUGAAGAACGCAGCGAAAUGCGAUAAGUAAUGUGAAUUGCAGAUUUUCAGUGAAUCAUCGAAUCUUUGAACGCACCUUGCGCCCCUUGGUAUUCCGAGGGGCAUGCCUGUUUGAGUGUCAUUAAAUCCUCAACCCCUCCGAUUCGUUUCGGUGGGGAUUGGACUUGGAGCGUGCUGGCGAAGGUCGGCUCCUCUUUAAAUGCAUCAGCGGAGAAAAUGCCUUUUGCGCCUCUGGCCGUUCAGCGUGAUAAUGAUGUUGCGCUGCGGUCGAGCUUAAGGUCCGCUUCCAAAGGUCCUCGGACAAAUAUACAUAUGAC